rnacentral:pre_miRNA from 1 species
AAAUUACUCCCUCCAUCCCAAAAUUCUUGUCUUAGAUUUGUCUAGAUAUGGAUGUAUCAAGUCACAUUUUAGUAUUAGAUACAUCCAUAUCUAGACAAAUCUAAGACAAGAAAUUUGGGAUAGAGGGAGUAGUUG